rnacentral:tRNA from 3 species
GGAGGGUUGGCAGAGUGGCUGAAUGCACCUCACCGCUAACGAGGCAAGCCGUAAGGCUUCGGAGGUUCGAAUCCUCCACCCUCCG